rnacentral:rRNA from 1 species
GGAAUAUUGGACAAUGGGCGCAAGCCUGAUCCAGCCAUGCCGCGUGAGUGAUGAAGGCCCUAGGGUUGUAAAGCUCUUUCACCGGUGAAGAUAAUGACGGUAACCGGAGAAGAAGCCCCGGCUCACUUUGUGCCAGCCACCGCGGUAAUACGAAGGGGGCUAGCGUUGUUCGGAUUUACUGGGCGUAAAGCGCACGUAGGCGGACUAUUAAGUCAGGGGUGAAAUCCCGGGGCUCAACCCCGGAACUGCCUUUGAUACUGGUAGUCUUGAGUUCGAGAGAGGUGAGUGGAAUUCCGAGUGUAGAGGUGAAAUUCGUAGAUAUUCGGAGGAACACCAGUGGCGAAGGCGGCUCACUGGCUCGAUACUGACGCUGAGGUGCGAAAGCGUGGGGAGCAAAC